GACGAACGCUGGCGGCGUGCCUAAUACAUGCAAGUCAAGCGAACAUUUGAGAGCUUGCUCUCAAAUGUUAGCGGCGGACGGGUGAGUAACACGUGGGCAACCUGCCUAUAAGACUGGGAUAACUUCGGGAAACCGGAGCUAAUACCGGAUAAUUCACAUCUACUCAUGUAGAUGUGCUGAAAGACGGUUUACGCUGUCACUUAUAGAUGGGCCCGCGGCGCAUUAGCUAGUUGGUGAGGUAACGGCUCACCAAGGCACGAUGCGUAGCCGACCUGAGAGGGUGAUCGGCCACACUGGAACUGAGACACGGUCCAGACUCCUACGGGAGGCAGCAGUGGGGAAUUUUGCGCAAUGGGCUAACGCCUGACGCAGCAACGCCGCGUGGAGGAUGAAGGUCCUU
rnacentral:rRNA from 1 species